CGGGUGAGUAACGCGUGGGUAACCUGCCUCAUACAGGGGGAGUAACAGUUAGAAAUGACUGCUAAUACCGCAUAAGCGCACAGUGCUGCAUGGCACAGUGUGAAAAACUCCGGUGGUAUGAGAUGGACCCGCGUCUGAUUAGCUAGUUGGUGGGGUAACGGCCUACCAAGGCGACGAUCAGUAGCCGGCCUGAGAGGGUGAACGGCCACAUUGGGACUGAGACACGGCCCAAACUCCUACGGGAGGCAGCAUG
rnacentral:rRNA from 1 species